rnacentral:rRNA from 1 species
CGGCCUUCGGGUUGUAAACCUCUUUCAGUAGGGAAGAAGCGAAGGUGACGGUACCUGCAGAAGAAGCGCCGGCUAACUACGUGCCAGCAGCCGCGGUAAUACGUAGGGCGCAAGCGUUAUCCGGAAUUAUUGGGCGUAAAGAGCUCGUAGGCGGUUUGUCGCGUCUGCCGUGAAAGUCCGGGGCUCAACUCCGGAUCUGCGGUGGGUACGGGCAGACUAGAGUGAUGUAGGGGAGACUGGAAUUCCUGGUGUAGCGGUGAAAUGCGCAGAUAUCAGGAGGAACACCGAUGGCGAAGGCAGGUCUCUGGGCAUUAACUGACGCUGAGGAGCGAAAGCAUGGGGAGCGAACAGGAUUAGAUACCCUGGUAGUCCAUGCCGUAAACGUUGGGCACUAGGUGUGGGGGACAUUCCACGUUUUCCGCGCCGUAGCUAACGCAUUAAGUGCCCCGCCUGGGGAGUACGGCCGCAAGGCUAAAACUCAAAGGAAUUGACGGGGGCCCGCACAAGCGGCGGAGCAUGCGGAUUAAUUCGAUGCAACGCGAAGAACCUUACCAAGGCUUGACAUGGACCGGACCGCCGCAGAAAUGUGGUUUCUCCUUUUGGGGCCGGUUCACAGGUGGUGCAUGGUUGUCGUCAGCUCGUGUCGUGAGAUGUUGGGUUAAGUCCCGCAACGAGCGCAACCCUCGUUCCAUGUUGCCAGCACGU